rnacentral:rRNA from 1 species
CCCUUAGAUGUUCUGGGCCGCACGCGCGCUACACUGACGAAUGCAACGAGCUUAUAACCUUGGCCGAAAGGUCUGGGUACUCUCCAAAUUUCGUCGUGAUGGGGAUAGAUUAUUGCAAUUAUUAAUCUUCAACGAGGAAUGCCUAGUAAGCGCAAGUCAUCAGCUUGCGUUGAUUACGUCCCUGCCCUUUGUACACACCGCCCGUCGCUCCUACCGAUUGAAUGGUCCGGUGAAGCGUUCGGACCGUGGCCUUUGGACGGUUCGCCGUCUGUUGGCUGCGGGAAGUUCGUUAAACCUUAUCAUUUAGAGGAAGGAGAAGUCGUAACA